UAACACAUAAUUUCACCUGCUCCAUAACUUUUAGCUCCUCUGAACUAAAGUACACGGCCUCCAUAAUUCAAUAUAUGGUAAAAUUUCAUCAAUUUCUUUUCUUAUAUAAUAUGUACCGCGGAAACUGUGGGUGAUGAAACCUAUGUUUGUUCUGGAUUUUGGUUCAGAAGAGUAUAAAGGUUAUGGACCAGUUGAAAUUUUGCAUGGAGGAAAAAAAAGUUGGAAAUGGUCGACCUGUGUUCUUUUUUUCAAAGUAACGAAAAAAAACACUUUAAGAAAGUCAGAAUGACGAAAUAUGCCGUCAAUAAGGAAAGUCAGAAGAAAAAACCUUUUAUAAGUUUGUAACACCCUGUAAUGAUUUCAAGAAUGAUUCGAUUUUGUUUGGAAAUAUGAACCUAUAUUAAGAGUUUUUUAAAUGUAACAUUUAUUAUUUAAUUUAAUUUUUUUUUUAGGUUGAACUGGAUGAAUAUGGAAAUGUUCUUGAGCUUAAAUUGGCAGACUUUGGGCUAGCCUGUGAAGUUACGGAACCACUCUAUGCCGUUUGUGGAACUCCCACGUAUGUGGCGCCGGAGAUAUUGCUGGAAGUGGGGUAUGGGUUAAAGAUUGAUGUUUGGGCCGCUGGUAUUAUUUUGUAUAUACUUUUAUGUGGAUUCCCACCGUUUGUAGCACCAGAUAACCAACAAGAGCCUCUUUUUGACGCUAUCAUAUCGGGCGUCUACGAGUUUCCCGACCCUUAUUGGUCAGAUAUUGGUGAUGGAGUCCGCGAUCUUAUCGCUAAUAUGUUGCAAUCCGAUCCUGCGGUUCGUUUUACAAGCGAAGAUAUCUUGGAUCACUAUUGGACUAUGAACAACGAGAAUAGCUGUUUCUUCAGCAGAUGAAUUAUGGCCGUUUCGGAUGUUUUUAAAACUUCACUACCAUUCCCGACAAAUUUUAUGAUGCAGUCCAGUAGUUUUUAUGUUAUGUAUAUUAUAACGCUAUUAUUUAUAAAUUAAUUUAUUUGUUUUUUGAUAAAAUCAGGAAGUUAUCUGUUGAUAACUAUUAAGACACGUUUAUCAGAAAACUUAAGCAGCCUAAAACUUAUAUAAGCUACCGUACGAUUUUUUAAAAUUCCAAUAUUCAAGUCAAUAACCAUUGGCCUGAGUUUUCUAAAUUAGUUUUCUUAUGUGGUUAUAUUCAUAUAUUCAUAUAUGUUUCAUAUGUUUAUUUGAAAUAUUAAGGAUUCCAUCAAAAACCAUUCACAACUACAAUUUAGAAGUGUUCAAUUUCAAUUCAGAUUAUUCUAUUGAUUUAUCUGUGAAAUAAAUCGGAUAAACUAUAUUUGGCAUAUAAAUAAAGACGACCGAAAUAUA